rfam:Trichophyton benhamiae CBS 112371 contig00074.8, whole genome shotgun sequence.
UCCUUAGUGGUGUAGAGGUAACAUAACUCUCUUUCACAGAGUCGCCCGGGGUUCGAUUCCCCGCUAGGGAG